rnacentral:tRNA from 1 species
GUAUCGGUGGUUCAGUGGUAGAAUGCUCGCCUGCUACGCGGGCGGCCUGGGUUCGAUUCCCGGCCGAUGCC